rnacentral:rRNA from 1 species
UAUGGUAAUUGUGCAGCAGCCGCGGUACUACGUAGGUGGCGAGCGUUAUCCGGAAUCAUUGGGCGUAAAGAGGGAGCAGGCGGCCGCAAGGGUCUGUGGUGAAAGACCGAAGCUAAACUUCGGUAAGCCAUGGAAACCGGGCGGCUAGAGUGCGGAAGAGGAUCGUGGAAUUCCAUGUGUAGCGGUGAAAUGCGUAGAUAUAUGGAGGAACACCAGUGGCGAAGGCGACGGUCUGGGCCGCAACUGACGCUCAUUCCCGAAAGCGUGGGGAGCAAAUAGG